CUCUAAAAAGUAUUAAUGUACAUUUGCCUUCCAAGCAAAAAGGCUAAAAAAUUAGUUUAGAGA
rnacentral:tRNA from 1 species